rnacentral:rRNA from 1 species
GGUCUAGGAUGCUGGAAUGCACUUAGGCUCAAAACUCCGGUGCCAUAGGAUGAGUCUGCGGACUAUCAGGUUGUAGUCAGGGUAAUGACCUGACUAGCCUACGACGGAUACGGGUUGUGAGAGCAAUAACCCGGAGAUGAUAUCUGAGACACGAUAUCAGGCCCUACGGGGCGCAGCAGGCGCGAAAACUUCGCAAUGUGCGAAAGCACGACGAGGGAAUCCCAAGUGCUUGCUCGUAAGAGUAAGCUGUUUUUAUGUUUAAAAAGCAUAGACAGUAAGGGCUGGGUAAGACGGGUGCCAGCCGCCGCGGUAAUACCUGCAGGCUCAAGUGGUGGCCCGUUAUUAUUGGG